rnacentral:rRNA from 1 species
GUGUCAGCCGCCGCGGUAAUACGUAGGGGGCUAGCGUUGUCCGGAAACACUGGGCGUAAAGGGUUCGCGGGCGGCAAUGCAAGUCAGAUGUAAAAGGCAAAGGCUCAACCUUUGUAAGCAUCUGAAACUGUAUAGCUUGAGAAGUGUAGAGGCAAGUGGAAUUUUUAGUGUAGCGGUGAAAUGCGUAGAUAUUAAAAAGAAUACCGGUGGCGAAGGCGACUUGCUGGGCACAAUCUGACGCUGAGGAACGAAAGCGUGGGGAGCAAACAGGAUUAGAAACCCCAGUAGUCC